GGGGUGGUAGCUCAGCUGGUUAGAGCAGAGGACUCAUAAUCCUUGGGUCGCGGGUUCGAGUCCCGCCCACCCUAC
rnacentral:tRNA from 1 species